CUCCUGUGCCGGGCGGAGCGGAGCCUGGGCCGGUGCGGGACGGGAUGGCGGCUGUACGGCCUUCUCCCGGGGGUCGCUGGUGUCCGAGUGACCUGGGCAGUGCUUUAGAGUAACCCCUCAGUGCUUCCACCGCCGUCACCGUGGGUCACGCCGGCUCGGAGCACUCUUUGAGAGAGAAGGUAGCGGGGCGAUAGGGACAAGAUGAUUGAAACACUUGUAACUACUGAAGCUCAGGAGCUGCUGUACCAGCUCACAGCCCUGCUGGAACAGGAGUUAAGAUGUCAGCCGAAGGCCUCUGGCCUCAGACUAAUUGAAUCUACUCAUGAUAAUGGUCUCCGAAUGACUGCAAGGCUGCGUGACUUUGAAGUGAAAGAUCUUCUCAGCUUAACUCAAUUCUUUGGCUUCCAUACAGAGACGUUUUCUCUAGCUGUGAAUUUCUUAGAUAGAUUCUUAUCAAAGAUGAAGGUACAGCCUAAACACUUGGGCUGUGUUGGACUCAGCUGCUUCUACUUGGCUGUGAAGGCAUCAGAAGAAGAGAGAAAUGUUCCCUUAGCCACUGACUUAAUUCGAAUAAGCCAGUACAGGUUCACUGUUUCCGAUCUGAUGAGAAUGGAGAAAAUCAUAUUGGAGAAACUGUCUUGGAAAGUCAAAGCUACAACGGCCUUCCAAUUUCUACAACUGUAUCAUUCACUCAUUCAUGAGAACUUAAGCUGUGAAAGGAGAAAAUACCUUAAUUUUGAGAGACUUGAGACCCAGCUUAAAGCAUGUCACUGCAGAAUCAUGUUCUCUAAAGCCAAGCCUUCUGUCUUGGCACUGUCUAUCAUGGCACAAGAGAUAGAAGAACAAAAACUACUGGAGUUGACAGAGGCAUUGGAAUUUCUGCAGUCGCAUUCCAAGAUAAACAACAGAGAUUUGACCUUCUGGAAGGAACUGGUGUUGAAGUGCCUUACAGAAUAUUCCUCGAGCAAGUGUUCCAAACCAAAUGUCCAGAAAUUGAAAUGGAUUGUGUCUGGACGUACAGCACGGCAGCUUAAACAUAGCUACUACAGAAUAACACACCUUCCUACAAUUCCAGAGACCAGCUCAUAAUAGGUAACCUCUUGAAGACAUGUAACAUAAACGGUAAUAGGCCUGUCAUAGAGGCUGGUCUGUUCUCGUGUUCAUGCUUGAGCCAGUGCUGUACCAAAAGAAGUGGCAACCUAAUAUGUGAACAUUGGAGAAAGAACUGAUCCUCUGGUGUGCUGUGGGAGCAGAAAUGUGUUCUACAGGCAUUGGGACCUCAUUCAAACUAAAAUGUGGAAUAAAACUGGAAUACAAUAAAAGGAGGAAAGAACUAUCCUGUGACCUUGUCAACAGACACGUGAAUAUUUGAGAAACUAAGUUUGAAACGUGAUCUUAAUAAUGAAGAACUCAUGGAAAGAAUGUGUAAUGUUUGAGACUAAAGAUCCUUCCAGAAAAUAUGUUCUUACUGUGAUGAUUACAAAAAAUAUUCAGUGUCAGUUUUCAGUCUUAUUUGUUAGACUGUUUACUGUUCAGUGAAAUACCACAAUACUGAUACAAGGAACUUUAACACCUUAUAUUUUGUAGAGCAGCUUGUGUAGUCUAACCUUGGUUUACUGUUACUGCAGGUGCUGAAUUAUAUAUUUAAAUUUAAAAAUCUGGUUCACUUUACAACUUUCCAAAGGUUACGUGACCGUAGCAGAGUGCUGCAGUGUCUCAGUCGAACUAAGGACUAAUCCUGCUCGAUAUUGAUGACAAUAGCAAAUGCCUGUCAGUCCCCAUGAGACGCUGUUAGGGCAGUGUCAUGUGUCCACAUGUUCCUGCUGGGCAGGGCAGUGGCCUUCUACCCUAGACACAUUAAAAACUAGGCUAUGUGAACCCUCUGAAAGUGUCAAGCAGCUAGAGCAGGGGAAAAGAGAAACCUUGUUUCAUUAUCUUAUAAAAGGUAGUCACUAACACAGCAUCAGUAACUUCAGUAUUUUCUAAAACAUGUAGUUUACCGAGAUUACAAAUUAUUUCACAGCAUACAAACUUUAUGCUACGUAAUGAAGGCUGAAGGAAAGUACUGGGUCACCUGCCCCAGAUCUGACAUCAGUUUUCCAAAGUUUCACUGUACAUUGCUGAUGCUGAACAGGUGCAUUUUUACAGGCACAGUAGGAGCAAGGCUAAUGCCCCAUCUUGGCCUGUAUGUAGGAGCAAUCUAGUGGAGAGAGAUUGAAGAUGGCUUCAACUCUGAUCUCCUUUAUGGUAAACUUUGCAAAAUACAACUGUUUUUUCUGAAGACCAGGUCAGUACUUGAGACAUAUCGUGCUUCUGGAGCUAACAAGGAAGUGAAUAAUAAGAAUGUAUUAUUGUAUGUAAGAGGAAUAGAGGGGUUGGGGGAAUGUUGCUAAUGACCUCUUGAGUUCUGCAUCAUGGUGGAGUAGAGGCUGUUAAUUACUGAUUGCUAUAUGAACUGACUUAUUGGAGAAGGAUUGAUCAGAAUGUUCUGAAUGGUGCGGGCUUGGAUGUUAGCCAACCAACCCUUUCCCCUUUAUGGUAAUAGCUGAGGGGAAAAUCGUUCUUUGCAUAUCUCAAACUAGUGAAACCUUACACAGAAGACUUCAUACCAAAGCUCUCUACUGGACAAAUCAAGGCGUCUCGUGAGCUCAUGGGAGGGAUUACAUCGUACAACAUUAAAUUGGGUUUUGCAUCUGCCAGGGCUAUCUGUGCAUUGUGCUGACCUGUGAAAACUCUACCAAUGACUGGGACAAAGGUGUGGUCAGCCUACUGGAGACAUGGAGAAGAUGCAAUGCGCAAUUCUAAUUGUCAUGGCUCAAGAUAUGUACCUUUCAAUUAAACAUUGAAAUGUGCUUAA